GAGUGGGUGGUGUAAAAAGCAUGUGUGAUUUCGGCUUACAAGGUGAAGUGUUUCCUUACUCU
rnacentral:tRNA from 1 species